ACUUCUGCUACGCCUGGGCGGCGAAGUCAGGACGCGCCGUUCACCACGGACUCCGAGCUGUCACCAACCGCCCCGCAGCGCUCGCGACGUCUGCAUCCCACGCACCCCAAGCCUGCGGAGCUCUUCCUCCUCAGGGCUGGACGUCUAGGCGGUCCAGGAGCAUGCGCGAUGUGGCCGCUCGGCCAGCCUGGCGGGAGCGCGCGCCGAGCCCGUGCCUUCCGGAAUCUUCGGUGCGCUACUUCUGCUCACCUGGCUGUCAGGGCUUGGGACUCACCCUCCUCUCCGCCUUAGCGUGCCUGGCGGGAGCCGCGGCUUCUGAUCACCCGCCGCUGAGCUUGUGCCUCAGUAGCCACAGUUGCCCUGGUGGCUGUUCUGGAAGAGAUCUGAAAGCGGGCUGGCCUGGAUCGUGACAGCUCCACAUCUCUCGUCCUGGUGAAGAAUUGUAUCCGGUAAUCUUGGAAUGGAUAUCUGGGAUUUCUGAUGAAGCAGCCAAUCUCCCAUCCAAUUCUAUGGAAGAAUCCAUGGAUUGACCCUCAAAAUGAAGACUUUUGUGGGUAAAAGAGACAUGAUUUUAUAUUAAUAUUUUAUAAGUGUUAUGAGUUGUGGGGUAAAAGAGACAUGAUUUUAUAUUAAUAUUUUAUAAAUGUUAUGAAACAUAUUUACUAAGAAUCAGGAAAUGUGCGUUAAAACUUUAGCUGUACUGCUUAGAAAUUGUAUAUAAUUUAGAACAAGUGACAUAACCUUUCAGGCCACUCUUGUUUAAUUUGUAACCUAAAGCAAUUGGACCAGAUCAGUUAGCUUUUGUUAAGAUGCAUCAUAAGGAUAUCAAAAACUAGUAUUUCAUGAGAUAUUAUUUGUUUUACAGGAGUAAAAAGUGUUUAAGUCAAAUAAAUUUUUGAAAUGCAAACUGCAA